rnacentral:rRNA from 1 species
AAUGAACGCUGGCGGCAUGCUUACACAUGCAAGUCGAACGGGAAUUACUUUAUUGUUGCUCCCGUCGAGUUAAUUGACUUCAAGUGGAGUACUGUUGAGUAACGCGUGCGUAACCUGCCUAAUACUAGGCGAUAACAUACCUAAUUGGCUGCAUUCACCACAUAAGCGCAAAGAGCUGCGUGGCACCUCGUGAUACACUCCCGUGCUAUAUCAUAGACCCUCGUUGGAUUAGCUUGUUGCUGGCGUAGCGGCCCUCCGUAGCUACUAUCCAUAGACGACCUGACACGGUGAACCUGCAACUUGGGACUGACACCCAGCCCAGACUCCUACGGGAAGCUUCCGAGGGUAAUAUUGCCCCUGGUCGAACCCCCUGAUGCGUCGACCCCACGUGUUCGAAUAGUUAUCUCGUUAUGUCAACUUCUAUCAGCCUGAAGCAUAUUGACUGUAACUGACUAAGAAGCCCCGGAUAACUACCUGCCUACAUCCGCGGCAAUACCUACGGGGCAAGCGUUAUCCGCGAUUUACUGUCUGUAAUUGCAGCGUAUACGGUGUGCGCAGUCUGAUGUGAAAUCCCGGGGCUCAACCUCGGAACUGCACUAUUAACUGCCAAGCUAGAGUAUGUCAGAGGGGGGUGGAAUUCCGCGUGUAGCAGUGAAAUGCGUAGAUAUGCGGAGGAACACCGAUGGCGAAGGCAGCCCCCUGGGAUGGUACUGACGCUCAGGCACGAAAGCGUGGGUAGCGAACAGGAUUAGAUACCCUGGUAGUCCACGCCCUAAACGAUGUCAACUAGCUGUUGGGCCGGUUACGGCUUAGUAGCGCAGCUAACGCGUGAAGUUGACCGCCUGGGGACUACGGUCGCAAGACUAAAACUCAAAGGAAUUGACGGGGACCCGCACAAGCGGUGGAUGAUGUGGAUUAAUUCGAUGCAACGCGAAAAACCUUACCUACCCUUGACAUGCCCGGAAGCUUCAAGAGAUUGGAGUGUGCUCGCAAGAGAACCGGAGCACAGGUGCUGCAUGGCUGUCGUCAGCUCGUGUCGUGAGAUGUUGGGUUAAGUCCCGCAACGAGCGCAACCCUUGUCAUUAGUUGCUACGAAAGGGCACUCUAAUGAGACUGCCGGUGACAAACCGGAGGAAGGUGGGGAUGACGUCAAGUCCUCAUGGCCCUUAUGGGUAGGGCUUCACACGUCAUACAAUGGUCAGGACAGCGGGUUGCCAAGCCGCGAGGUGGAGCUAAUCUCUUAAACCUGAUCGUAGUCCGGACUGCAGCCUGCAACUCGCCUGCAUGAAGUCGGAAUCGCUAGUAAUCGCGGAUCAGAAUGCCGCGGUGAAUACGUUCCCGGGUCU